AUUGAACGCUGGCGGCAUGCCUUACACAUGCAAAUCGAACGGUAACGGGCCUUCGGGUGCCGACGAGUGGCGAACGGGUGAGUAAUACAUCGGAACGUGCCCGAUCGUGGGGGAUAACGAGGCGAAAGCUUUGCUAAUACCGCAUACGAUCGACGGAUGAAAGCAGGGGACCGCAAGGCCUUGCGCGGACGGAGCGGCCGAUGGCAGAUUAGGUAGUUGGUGGGCUAAAAGCUUACCAAGCCGACGAUCUGUAGCUGGUCUGAGAGGAUGAUCAGCCACACUGGGACUGGGACACGGCCCAGACUCCUACGGGAGGCAGCAGUGGGGAAUUUUGGACAAUGGGCGCAAGCCUGAUCCAGCCAUGCCGCGUGCAGGAUGACGGCCUUCGGGUUGUAAACUGAUUUUGUACGGAACGAAAAGCCUUCUUUUAAUACAGGAGGGUCAUGACGGUACCGGAAGAAUAAGCACCGGCUAACUACGUG
rnacentral:rRNA from 1 species